AGAGGAGCUUGCUCUUCUUGGAUGAGUUGCGAACGGGUGAGUAACGCGUAGGUAACCUGCCUUGUAGCGGGGGAUAACUAUUGGAAACGAUAGCUAAUACCGCAUAACAAUGGAUGACACAUGUCAUUUAUUUGAAAGGGGCAAUUGCUCCACUACAAGAUGGACCUGCGUUGUAUUAGCUAGUAGGUGAGGUAAUGGCUCACCUAGGCGACGAUACAUAGCCGACCUGAGAGGGUGAUCGGCCACACUGGGACUGAGACACGGCCCAGACUCCUACGGGAGGCAGCAGUAGGGAAUCUUCGGCAAUGGGGGCAACCCUGACCGAGCAACGCCGCGUGAGUGAAGAAGGUUUUCGGAUCGUAAAGCUCUGUUGUAAGUCAAGAACGGGUGUGAGAGUGGAAAGUUCACACUGUGACGGUAGCUUACCAGAAAGGGACGGCUAACUACGUGCCAGCAGCCGCGGUAAUACGUAGGUCCCGAGCGUUGUCCGGAUUUAUUGGGCGUAAAGCGAGCGCAGGCGGUUUGAUAAGUCUGAAGUUAAAGGCUGUGGCUC
rnacentral:rRNA from 1 species